UUAGGAUUCCUUAAGUUCUAAUUAAUUAUUAAUCUAAUGAAUCAACAUGACUCCUAAUUGGAUUAGGAUUGAAGAGUUCAAUUGAGUCAUGGUUCAUUCAAGUCCUAAUUGGAUUAGGACUAGCAUAGAUUGAACCCAAUUUGGUUAAUCCUAAUUAGACUAGGACUAAACCAUGAGAAGGGCACCUAAUCCUCUUUGGAAGAGGAUUGGGUUAACCAAGUAAGAGGAGCAUGAGCCCCUCUCAUCCUUGAUCAAUUGGUGCGGCACGAGAGAAGGGGCCGGCGCCCCCCCCUUUUGGAAAGUCAUCUAGGGCUCCUACUUUGGAGGAGCCCUUGAUGGCUAUAAAAGGGCUUAUGAGGCCGGCGCCCUAGAAGCAUUGAAGCCUCUCCCUCUUGAGCCGUGGCCACCCUCUCCCUCUCCUUUGGUUUCAGCCGCAAGCAAGGGAAGAAGAACUCCAAGUGUUGGCGGCAUCCUCUUCCUCCCUUCUUCCUUCCAACGCAGGGAAAAGAAAGAAGACUGCGUGGGGAUUCNNNNNNNNNNNNNNNNNCAUCCUUCUUCUUCCUCCUCUCAAGCACAAUCAAGGGUUGAUUGAAAGAGAGGAGAUCAGCCAUCAAAAGAAGUCUUUGCAAGGGAGCUAGCACCCCGGGAAGAUAAGAAAGCUUUGAUCGGUCCUCUGCUUCGU
rnacentral:lncRNA from 1 species